UGUACAUAUCAAAAUCUGCAAGAAAGUAAAACGAACUCAUUAUUUAUUUUAGAAACAUGAUGUAUGUGUUAUAUAUAGAAUUUCUAAAUGCUUGAUGAUGAGAAAGCUGCAAACUAAGUCAGAUACAGCACUGACCUAGAAAGCAUUGAGACCCUGCACUAUAUGUGAUAAGUACAAAUGCUUUUCUAACUUUAUUUACUUUUAACUUGCUGGCCGAUCUUUUCUUUUGUGUGAUAGAAUCAGCUCCUAAAGUGUACCGUGGCCUACAUCUGUGAAUUUAAACUAAGGAAAUGAUACUUAAAAGUGGAUCUGUGAUCGUGCCUGCUGCUCCUUUGGAUGCAUAAACAGCUCCUGUUCUCACUGAAGAAAUAUAGAAGAGGAAGUGGAGGAGCUUGGUUUCCAAGGAAAGAAGCUGGAGAACAGUGCAGAAAGAAGAAAGCUGUGAAUGAAAUAGAGGGCAAGUGGAAGUCAGACCUUUAUUCUCAUUGCUGCAUCCAUUGCUGUCUUGGGGCAGUGAAGAGGGCUCCUGUUUGCCUCUCUGCACAGUUUCACUGA
rnacentral:lncRNA from 1 species